rnacentral:rRNA from 1 species
UGGGGAAUAUUGCACAAUGGGGGAAACCCUGAUGCAGCGACGCCGCGUGAGCGAAGAAGGUUUUCGAAUCGUAAAGCUCUGUCCUAUGAGAAGAUAAUGACGGUAUCAUAGGAGGAAGCCCCGGCUAAAUACGUGCCAGCAGCCGCGGUAAUACGUAUGGGGCGAGCGUUGUCCGGAAUUAUUGGGCGUAAAGGGCUUGUAGGCGGUUGGCCGCGUCUGCCGUGAAAUCCUCUGGCUUAACUGGGGGCGUGCGGUGGGUACGGGUUGACUUGAGUGCGGUAGGGGAGACUGGAAUUCCUGGUGUAGCGGUGGAAUGCGCAGAUAUCAGGAGGAACACCAGUGGCGAAGGCGGGUCUCUGGGCCGUUACUGACGCUGAGGAGCGAAAGCGUGGGGAGCGAACAGG